UGGGGAAUUUUGGACAAUGGGCGAAAGCCUGAUCCAGCAAUGCCGCGUGUGUGAAGAAGGCCUUCGGGUUGUAAAGCACUUUUGUCCGGAAAGAAAUCCUUGGCUCUAAUACAGUCGGGGGAUGACGGUACCGGAAGAAUAAGCACCGGCUAACUACGUGCCAGCAGCCGCGGUAAUACGUAGGGUGCAAGCGUUAAUCGGAAUUACUGGGCGUAAAGCGUGCGCAGGCGGUUUGCUAAGACCGAUGUGAAAUCCCCGGGCUCAACCUGGGAACUGCAUUGGUGACUGGCAGGCUAGAGUAUGGCAGAGGGGGGUAGAAUUCCACGUGUAGCAGUGAAAUGCGUAGAGAUGUGGAGGAAUACCGAUGGCGAAGGCAGCCCCCUGGGCAAUACUGACGCUCAUGCACGAAAGCGUGGGGAGCAAACAGGAUUAGAUACCCUGGUAGUCCACGCCCUAAACGAUGUCACUAGUUGUUGGGGAUCAUUUCCUUAGUAACGUAGCUAACGCGUGAAGUUGACCGCCUGGGGAGUACGGUCGCAAGAUUAAAACUCAAAUGAAUUGACGGGGUCAUAGCUG
rnacentral:rRNA from 1 species